rnacentral:rRNA from 1 species
GUGGGGAAUUUUGGACAAUGGGGGCAACCCUGAUCCAGCCAUGCCGCGUGCGGGAAGAAGGCCUUCGGGUUGUAAACCGCUUUUAGUCGGGAAGAAAAGGCGCGGCCUAAUACGUCGCGUUCUUGACGGUACCGGCGGAAUAAGCACCGGCUAACUACGUGCCAGCAGCCGCGGUAAUACGUAGGGUGCGAGCGUUAAUCGGAAUUACUGGGCGUAAAGCGUGCGCAGGCGGUUCGUUAAGUCUGAUGUGAAAGCCCCGGGCUCAACCUGGGAAUGGCAUUGGAAACUGGCGGGCUUGAGUGUGGCAGAGGGGGGUGGAAUUCCGCGUGUAGCAGUGAAAUGCGUAGAGAUGCGGAGGAACACCGAUGGCGAAGGCAGCCCCCUGGGCUAACACUGACGCUCAGGCACGAAAGCGUGGGGAGCAAACAGGAUUAGAAACCCUUGUAGUCC